UACGUAGGGGGCUAGCGUUGUCCGGAUUUAUUGGGCGUAAAGAGCUCGUAGGUGGUUCGGUAAGUCGGAUGUGAAAUCUCCAGGCUCAACCUGGAGGGUCAUUCGAUACUGCCGUGACUAGAGUUCGGUAGAGGAGUGCGGAAUUCCUGGUGGAGCGGUGAAAUGCGCAGAGAUCAGGAGGAACACCCGUAGCGAAGGCGGCACUCUGGGCCGAUACUGACACUGAGGAGCGAAAGCGUGGGGAGCGAACAGG
rnacentral:rRNA from 1 species